AUGAAGCUGCAUUCUAAAUUUUAUGGCCCAUUCAGAGUAAUGGAGAAAGUUGGAAACCAUGCCUACAAAUUACUGUUACCAGAGGGCUGCCAGCUGCAUGACACAUUUCAUGUCAGCCAACUGAAGAAACACAUUGGGCCAGCAGUCAUCCCUUCCCCUAUGCUACCACUGGUUGGCCCUGAUGGCAUUAUCAAAGUGGAUCCUGAAGCAAUGCUGGAAAGAACACUUGUUCCAAGAAAACAAGGAAACAUCAGUAUUCCUGUCGUCAGGUGGUUAGUCAAGUGGACCAAUAUGCCCGUGGAGGAAGCUACUUGGGAAGACUCUGCGUUCAUCCAGAAGGUUUUUCCAUCUUUCAGAGCUUGA
rnacentral:rRNA from 1 species